rnacentral:rRNA from 1 species
CCCUUAGAUGUUCUGGGCCGCACGCGCGCUACACUGAUGCAUUCAACGAGCCUAUCCUUGACCGACAGGUCCGGGUAAUCUUUGAAUCUGCAUCGUGACGGGGAUAGAUUAUUGCAAUUAUUAAUCUUCAACGAGGAAUGCCUAGUAGGCGCAAGUCAUCAGCUUGCGUCGAUUACGUCCCUGCCCUUUGUACACACCGCCCGUCGCUCCUACCGAUUGGGUGUGCUGGUGAAAUGUUCGGAUCGGCCGUUUGUCGCGGUUUCCGCGUCAUGUGGCUGAGAAGUUCAUUAAACCCUCCCACCUAGAGGAAGGAGAAGUAGUAACA